rfam:Triticum aestivum genome assembly, contig: Triticum_aestivum_CS42_TGACv1_scaffold_571962_7AS
UUUCUACUCCCUCCGUCCGAAAAUACUUGUCAUCAAAAUGGAUAAAAAGAGAUGUAUCUAAAAAUAAAAUAUGUCUAUAUACAUUUCCUUUUAUCCAUUUUGAUGACAAGUAUUUUCGGACGAAGGGAGUAUUUG